AAUCAACGCUGGCGGCGUGCCUAACACAUGCAAGUCGAACGCGAAAGUCCCGCAAGGGAUUAGUAGAGUGGCAAACGGGUGAGUAACACGUGGGUGACCUGCCUUCGAGUGGGGAGUAACGUCCCGAACGGGACGCUAUACCGCAUGACAUCCUGCCUUUUAACUAGGCGGAGAUCAAAGACUGGGGAGUCGCAAGACCUAGCGCUUGAAGA
rnacentral:rRNA from 1 species